rnacentral:lncRNA from 1 species
UAAAUUUUUAUCCUUUGAAUUUUAGGUCAACCCCAAUACAAAGAAACCUAUAUUUUAUAAAUUACAAUUAUUAAAUUAAAAUUCUAAUUUUCUUUCAACUUCUCACCCAAAUAGUAAGCCUGACAAUCUAACUUGCGGUUCGCACGAUAUANUCAAAAAAAUUUUAGCUUUAGAUCUUCCUUUUAAUAAAAAAAUCAAUAAUAAUGAUGAUUAUUUAUAAGACCCAUUAUUGUGGAUGAUUCAAAAAAUAGUAAGCCUGACAAUCUAACUUGCGGCUCGCACGAUAUAUUAACAAAUCAGCUCAUGUUCGACUCGUUUAUACAUAUGCAUUCGCCCGAUAUAUUAACAAAUCAGCUCAUGUUCGUUUAUACAUAUAUAUCCGCAUCACUA